UUUUCCAGCAAGUCUUCUAACAUGGCAACCACAUCAGAGUCGGGGAAUGGAUAAGUCUUAUCCUCAAGCUCCUUCAAAGUGCGUCUACGCAUCUCUUGAUCACGAAAAGCUUCGGUUUGAAUCGCCUUGCCUCGUGUAGGGAUUUUGACGGGAGCUGUGUUGACCGUCAUUGCUUCCUUGGUGGGUUUCCACGCAGUCUUCUCCAACUUUGGCCCAAGAACUUUG
rnacentral:lncRNA from 1 species